rnacentral:rRNA from 1 species
GACGAACGCUGGCGGCGUGCCUAACACAUGCAAGUCGAGCGGAGUCGAUCGACGGAAGCCUUCGGGCGGAAGAUGGUUGACUUAGCGGCGGAUGGGUGAGUAACGCGUGGGCAACCUGCCUCGAAGACCGGGAUAACAGCCCGAAAGGGCUGCUAAUACCGGAUGUGGUCAAGGAUCCGCAUGGAUUUUUGAUUAAAGGGGAAACCCGUUUCGAGAUGGGCCCGCGUCCUAUCAGCUAGUUGGUGAGGUAAAAGCUCACCAAGGCGACGACGGGUAGCCGGCCUGAGAGGGUGACCGGCCACACUGGAACUGAGACACGGUCCAGACUCCUACGGGGGCAGCAGUGGGGAAUCUUCCACAAUGGGCGAAAAGCCUGAUGGAGCGACGCCGCGUGAGCGAAGAAGGCCUUCGGUUGUAAAGCUCUGUCUGGAGGGACGAAGGAAGUGACGGUACCUCCGGAGGAAGCCACGGCUAACUAACGUG